CCUUCGAUAGCUCAGUUGGUAGAGCGGUGGACUGUAGAAUGAUUAAAUUAAUUCCUCGUCGAAAGUUGAGAACAUCAAACGCACAGUUAUCCAUAGGUCACUGGUUCAAAUCCGGUUCGAAGGA
rnacentral:tRNA from 2 species